rnacentral:rRNA from 1 species
AGAGUUUGAUCCUGGCUCAGAACGAACGCUGGCGGCAUGCCUAACACAUGCAAGUCGAACGCUCUUGGGGCUUCGGUUUCAAGGGAGUGGCGCACGGGUGAGUAGCGCGUGGGAACCUGCCCUGUUGUGGGGGAUAACCGAGGGAAACUUCGGCUAAUACCGCAUACGCCGGUUGUCUUGAGAGAGAUGGCCGGGAAAGAUUGAUCGCAGCAGGAGGGGCCCGCGUCGGAUUAGGUAGUUGGUGGGGUAACGGCCUACCAAGCCUGUGAUCCGUAGCUGGUCUGAGAGGAUGAUCAGCCACACUGGGACUGAGACACGGCCCAGACUCCUACGGGAGGCAGCAGUGGGGAAUAUUGGACAAUGGGCGCAAGCCUGAUCCAGCAAUGCCGCGUGAGUGAUGAAGGCCUUCGGGUUGUAAAGCUCUUUCGCACGCGACGAUGAUGACGGUAGCGUGAGAAGAAGCCCCGGCUAACUUCGUGCCAGCAGCCGCGGUAAUACGAAGGGGGCGAGCGUUGUUCGGAUUUACUGGGCGUAAAGGGCGCGUAGGCGGCGAUGAAAGUCAGGCGUGAAAGCCCCGGGCUCAACCUGGGAGGUGCGCUUGGGACUACAUUGCUGGAGUUCGGGAGAGGAGCGUGGAAUUCCCAGUGUAGAGGUGAAAUUCGUAGAUAUUGGGAAGAACACCGGUGGCGAAGGCGGCGCUCUGGACCGAUACUGACGCUGAGGCGCGAAAGCGUGGGGAGCAAACAGGAUUAGAUACCCUGGUAGUCCACGCUGUAAACGAUGUGUGCUAGACGUUGGAGAGCCUAGCUCUUCGGUGUCGCCGCUA